CCCUGUGGCUCAGUUGGUAGAGCAUGCUGUGUGCAACGCCAGGGUUGUGGGUUCGAUUCCCACCGGGG
rnacentral:tRNA from 1 species